GGAGGCAGCAGUGAGGAAUAUUGGUCAAUGGACGAGAGUCUGAACCAGCCAAGUCGCGUGAGGGAAGACUGCCCUAUGGGUUGUAAACCUCUUUUAUAAGGGAAGAAUAAGUUCUACGUGUAGAAUGAUGCCUGUACCUUAUGAAUAAGCAUCGGCUAACUCCGUGCCAGCAGCCGCGGUAAUACGGAGGAUGCGAGCGUUAUCCGGAUUUAUUGGGUUUAAAGGGUGCGUAGGCGGUUUUGUAAGUUAGUGGUCAAAUGUCAUGGCUUAACCUUGGCUUGCCAUUAAAACUGCAGGACUCGAGUACAGACGAGGUAGGCGGAAUAAGUUAAGUAGCGGUGAAAUGCAUAGAUAUAACUUAGAACUCCGAUAGCGAAGGCAGCUUACCAGACUGUAACUGACGCUGAUGCACGAGAGCAUGGGUAGCGAACAGGAUUAGAUACCCUGGUAGUCCAUGCCGUAAACGAUGCUCACUGGCUCUAUGCGAUACACAGCAUGGGGUCAAGCGAAAGUAUUAAGUGAGCCACCUGGGGAGUACGUCGGCAACGAUGAAACUCAAAGGAAUUGACGGGGGCCCGCACAAGCGGAGGAACAUGUGGUUUAAUUCGAUGAUACGCGAGGAACCUUACCCGGGCUUGAAAGUUAGUGACGAUUCUGGAAACAGGAUUUCCCUUCGGGGCACGAAACUAGGUGCUGCAUGGUUGUCGUCAGCUCGUGCCGUGAGGUGUCGGGUUAAGUCCCAUAACGAGCGCAACCCCUAUCUUUAGUUGCCAUCAGGUCAAGCUGGGCACUCUAAAGAGACUGCCACCGUAAGGUGAGAGGAAGGCGGGGAUGACGUCAAAUCAGCACGGCCCUUACACCUAGGGCUACACACGUGUUACAAUGGCCGGUACAGAGGGCAGCUACUUAGCGAUAAGAUGCGAAUCUCGAAAGCCGGUCGUAGUUCGGAUUGGAGUCUGUAACCCGACUCCAUGAAGUUGGAUUCGCUAGUAAUCGCGCAUCAGCCAUGGCGCGGUGAAUACGUUCCCGGGCCUUGUACACACCGCCCGUCAAGCCAUGGGAGCCGGGGGUACCUGAAGUGCGUAACCGCGAGGAGCGCCCUAGGGUAAAACUGGUGACUGGGGCUAAGUCGUAACAAGGUAGCCGUACCGGAAGGUGCGGCUG
rnacentral:rRNA from 1 species